CCCAGCUCGUCAUGCUAGUGCACUUUUUCAAUGGGCUCCCCAACGACAAGGCAACGACGCAUUCGUAUGUCAUCCAUAUCAACUUUCGAUGCCACUUUCUGCGCCUACCAUGGUGACCAAUCAGGGUUCGAUUCCUGAGAGAUAGCCUGAGAAACGGCUACCACAUGCAAGGAAGGCAGAAGGCGCGCAAAUGACCCACUCACGACGCGGGGAGGUAGUGACG